UCAAAAACAUUACAAAUAGUAAUGUGUCCAAACUUUUGGCCUGUAGUGUAUAAUAUUUAUUUUGGACCUUGGUGACAUUUUAAUUCAGGACCCCUGCUCUAAUGUAUCUGUAUCUAAUUGAUCAUUUUCCUUGCUUUCCCUCUGUUGGCCUGCUGUGAAUGCCAAAAGGACCACUGCAAAGAGAGUCGUGGUGAUGAACCUGGGAGCCCCCCGUCAACACCACCACCAUCCAGAGAAGACGAGGUGCUCAGAGAGGAGCUUCUGUCAUCCAGUGGGUCUGAUGCAGAUCCACUGGAUGAGGACUACAAACCAUCUCCAUCGCCACCAUCCAGUGAAGAUGAGUUGCUUGCACUAGAGUCCCAGUCAUCCUGCCACAGUACUCCAGAGAAGCACCACAGUCAUGCAUCAUCCAGUAAAACUGGCACCAGAGAAGCUGAGAACCAGAAGGCCAAAGGUAAAGCAGUUCAAAAAGGUACAAAGUCGAAAGAAAAAGGAGGGAAGUUUAAAGAUGAUAAAAAGAUUACUGUUAAAAGAAGCAUAACAAAGGAUGGUGCCAGAGUCUGGGACAAAGUCCAUUACUGUGUAUUCUGUGAAAAGGCUCAGUUGAAGAUAGCUAGACAUCUAGAAAGAAAACAUCGUAUGGAACGCGAUGUCGCCUAUGCUUUUAGUUUCCCAGUUGGCUCAAAACAAAGGAAGAUUCUGAUAGAAGGCCUUCGUAAUAAGGGUGACUGGCAUCACAAUCGCAUGGUCUACAAGGAAGGAAAUGGUGAGAUUGUAGUAUGGAAACGGCCCUCUGAGAAGGCAGACAUAGAGAGCUACCUACCAUGUCAACACUGUUACGCAAUGUUCAAGAGGACUGAACUCUGGAGACAUGAGAAGUCAUGUAGAGAACGGAAAGAGGAAAGACAGAAAGGCAAAAGAGUACAAAAAUCUUCCUCACAUCUACUUCCAAUCAAAUCAGGCCAAGGAGUACAAAAGAUCAUCCACUCCAUGCAACAAGAUCAUGUAACCUCUCACAUCAGAAGUGAUGAGAUGAUUUGUGCGUAUGGAGAUGCAUUAUUUGCAAAAAAGGGCCGUGAAGAAUCUCAGCACAGAUACAUUGCACAAAAGCUGAGAGAACUAGGACGGUUUAUGUUGGCUGCCAAGGAGAUUGAUGAGCGUGCCGAAACUCUUAAAGACAUUUGUGAUCCAGCAAAUUUUAAACUGGCAAUUGAAGCAGCCAGACACGUGUCAAACUAUGAUGUAAACAAGAACGAAUAUGGAAAGCCAUCUACAGCUGUUAAAAUUGGGUUUUCACUCAAAGGGGCCACUGAAGCCUGGAUAGGCCACUGCUUGAUGGACUCUGAUGUCAAAACUGAGAAGGCAAAGAAGUUCAAGGAGUUGCUGGAGAGCUCAUGGUCCAUUCAUGUGUCGACUAAUGCUCAUAGCUCAUUGGAGCAACGGCGGUGGGGCAAAGAAGACACUGUACCUCUGACAGAGGAUGUUAUCACUCUCCAGAACUACCUGAGGAAAGCUGAGGAUGAGGCAAAGGCAGAGUUAACCAAGCGCGUGAGUACUACAGCAUACAGGAAGUUAAGUGAGAGCCUUCUUGCACAAAUAAUUGUGUUCAAUAAGAAGCGUGAAGGAGAAGCAUCACGUUUAACCCUUGAGACAUAUCUAAAAGCAGACACCGGUCCUGUUAAUAAGGACAUUUAUGAGACUCUAUCGCCUGUGGAAAAACAAAUGAGCCACAGACUGACACGUUUGGUGACACGCGGAAAGAGAGGCAGAAAGGUGCCCAUCCUUCUUCUUGAGCGCACAAAAGCUUCGCUUGACUUCCUGGUUGAAAAACGGAGGGAAGUUGGCAUACUUGAGGAGAACCCCUUUCUGUUUGCCAGGCUUAGCACAACGACCAAUCUCCGUGGGUGUGACUGCCUCAGAAGAUAUGCAGAAGAGAGCAAGGCCAAAAACCCAGAACUGCUGAGAUCAACAAGGCUGAGGAAACACGUCGCUACCUUGUGUCAGCUUCUCGACCUCAGCAAUCAGGAACUU
ensembl:lncRNA